GGGCUUGACAUCCCACGAACCUGCCCGAAAGGGUGGGGUGCCCGCAAGGGAGCGUGGAGACAGGUGGUGCAUGGCUGUCGUCAGCUCGUGUCGUGAGAUGUUGGGUUAAGUCCCGCAACGAGCGCAACCCUCACCCCUAGUUGCCACCGGGUUAAGCCGAGCACUCAAGGGGAACUGCCAGCGUCAAGCUGGAGGAAGGCGGGGAUGACGUCGAGUCAUCAUGCCCCUUACGCCCUGGGCUACACACGUGCUACAAUGGCCAGCACAAAGGGACGCGAGACUGCGAAGUGGAGCUAAUCCCAAAAAGCUGGUCUAAGUUCAGAUUGCAGUCUGCAACUCGACUGCAUGAAGGAGGAAUCGCUAGUAAUCGCGCAUCAGCCCGGCGCGGUGAAUACGUUCCCGGGCCUUGUACACACCGCCCGUCACACCACGAAAGCUGUCUGUACUCGAAGUCGCUGAG
rnacentral:rRNA from 1 species